UGGUGGAUGCCUUGGCAGCUAGAGGCGAUGAAGGACGUGGUAGGCCACGAAAGGCUUCGGGGAGCAGUCAAACAUGCUUUGAUCCGGAGGUAUCCGAAUGGGGAAACCCACCCAGUUUACUGGGUACCUUGCACUGAAUACAUAGGUGUAAGGGGCGAACGCGGAGAACUGAAACAUUUAAGUACCCGUAGGAAAAGAAAU
rnacentral:rRNA from 14 species